CAUGCCAUGCAAAGUCUGCUAAACGAGUUAUCAUAACCGUUAUGUAGAAAUUCACAGCACAGAACGAUGGUAUUACCUCCGUAAAUGUGACAGAUAUGAAUAUGAGACUAAACACAAAACGCCUUGCAUUUGCAAUGUGCCUUAGCUUUCUUGUGGUGACCAUUGUGUUGAUGUACAACUGGAAACCAAGUCACCAUCACAAGAAUCCCUUCGAAAUAGACAUCUAUGACGACGGUGACUACGACGAAGAAGCGAAGGAUGAGAUUUUACGUCAGCAUCUGAUAGACUACCCUUUAUUCAAUGUGAAAGUACAGAAAGAAUUUGUGCGUCCACCUGUGUUAGUUCCACAGAUACUGGUGAGAAAAAUUGACCCUGUGGUUAUCACAUCAUCAAUGUCUGAUGCUGAAGUAGAAAAUAACUUCUUCAGGUACAUAGAGACAAAAGAUGUGAUCUGUAAGAACGACAAGAGGCUGGGAUUCCAACAUGAUGGAGGCUACAAUGUGUGCUUCGCUCCACCCUUUGGUCUCCGCAAACCUUGUAUUGUGUAUUCAUUUGGAAUUUAUGACGACUGGAAUUUUGAUGAUGCAGUGUCCAAGAUCUACAAGUGCAAUGUAUUUUCCUUUGAUCCUUCAAUUUCCAAACCAGACCAUAACCGGAGCUCAUUGAUAAAGUUCCAGAAAAUUGGCAUCGGAACCAAAAAUGAGGUCAACAGAAAGGGUUGGACUCUGAAAUCUCUCGGAUCUAUCUUACGUGACAAUAACCAUGAAAAGACAGUCAUUGAUUACCUCAAGUUUGACAUUGAGUUUAACGAGUGGGCUGUACUAGUCGCACUCCAGGAGGAAGGGGCUCUGUGGAAUGUCAAACAGAUUGGUUUUGAGAUCCACACACGGGAGUUGUUCCGCCAAAAAGAACAUCCGUAUCGGAAAACUAACAAAGAAGAUUACAUCCGGAUGUACAAGAUCCUCCGAACUUUAGACAGGAUGAACUUCAAGCAGUUUAAUUUUAGAAUGAACCCCUUUGGGAUGUUCAAGUCCAAGGUCACAAAUGUAUCAAGGUCAUGUUGUUAUGAUAUACAUUUUAUGAAUAUGAACUUUGUGAAAAAGAAUUAUACUAUUGUCGAGAGAUGAUAUUUUGACAUUGUAUAAUAAUGUGUUUUGAUAUUUCAUUCCAAAGAUAAUCAUGGCAUUUGUUUACUAGUUGGUUGUUAUCCAUAUAUUCUGUUGGAGCUGUGCUUUGUGGGUAUAUAUAUAUGUACCUCUCUGCUUGUGUAUUUCUGACUGGAAAUUGUAUCACCGUCAGGAGUAUAAUCAUGGUUGUGAAAUUUGUUUUACAAAUAUAUUUUGUUAAAGAUGUGAUUUAUUUUCUAGGUUAUUUAUAUUAGGGGAAAUAUUUUGCACUUGGUAUAAAUGGACAAUUUUUAUGCCUUGAAUGUUUAUAACAGAUGAUGAGAUUAGAUAAGAUGUGCUUCCACUCCUUGUGUAAGUGUCGUAAGUGAUAAGAUAAAUAGAUGUCUACAUUGAAGUGAUAUUCUACUGUGUAAGUCUAGCCCAGAGUAACUCAAUGUGUAAUUCUAGCCCACAGUAACUCAAUGUGUAAGUCUAGCCCAGAGUAACUCAAUGUGUAAGUCUAGCCCAGAGUAACUCAAUGUGUAAGUCUAGCCCAGAGUAACUCAAUGUGUAAGUCUAGCCCAGAGUAACUCAAUGUGUAAGUCUAGCCCAGAGUAACUCCUACCAUGCCUGGUUCAAUACCACACAAUACCACACAAUACCACACCGUACCACACAAUACCACACCGUACCACACAGUACCACACAGUACCACACAAUACCACACUGUACCACACAAUACCACACAGUACCACACAAUACCACACAGUACCACACAGUACCACACAAUACCACACAAUACCACACAGUACCACACAAUACCACACCGUACCACACAAUACCACACCGUACCACACAAUACCAUAUGUAUUCUGCAAAAAGCCUAGGACUACUUACACACCUAAACUUUGGCUAUCUCGAUCCAUUGUAAGAUUGUAGUAAGCCAGAGGUCCUGAGUUUGAUUCCAAGCAGAAGUGAUGAUUUAAAUUCAAUAAUCAUGCACUCUGUUACAUGUUUAUUACAGACAAGGACUAAUAACAAUAAGAAUGAUUAUAUAAUGAGAUUACUUCUACUUGAUCAGUUUUCAGUAACUAGUGGUUGUAUAGGCCUACAUAAAUUUACAUAACAAUAUCCGUAUUUAAAAGAAAAUCUUCACUAUGCCUUGUGGUAAUUGCCUGACCUUGAAAAUGAUCAACAUAGAAAAAAAAAUUGUUUGCUUGUGGUUGUUACUGUUAAAUGAAUGAGUUGUUUACUGAUGUGAACAGAUUUAUUUUUGUGUUGAUGGACGUAAUCGAUGAUUUGGUAAUGUUUUUACCAGCUAAACAAUGGAAUGUUCUUCAUAAGUUAGCCUGACAGAGUUACUUCCCUUCGACCUGAUGUACAAUAAAAUCUUAUGGUUCACAUAAUUAUGAUUUAAAUCAUACCAGAUACACUAAACAAUUUAUGUAGGUAAUUCAAAACUUACUCAGGUAAUUUAUGUUUUACCUGUUGAUAUUUUUAGCUCACAAUCAUCAUUAGCUCACAAUCAUCAUUAGCCCACAAUCCUCAUUAGCCCACAAUCCUCAUUAGCCCACAAUCCUCAUUAGCCCACAUCAGAUGAUGGACUAUUCAAAUCACCUUGGUGAUUAGUAAACAAUCCUUGUUAUUGCUAUUUCUCGAAAAGUACUGAAAGUAUAUUUCUCAAUCUUUACAUGUCUGCUCUCUUCGGUCCCUAAUUGUGCACAUGCAAUCUUGAGUCUGAUUUGGGAAAAUCUUAAAAUUGUUAUCUAUAUUUCUCAAAAUGGUCUUCUUGGAUAUUUCUUAGAUUUUUGAUUCAUAUGAAGGUUUUCCUUGUUAUCAGAUUAGUAAGAGGGAAAGAGAAAAGAGGGGAUAUUUAGAGAAAAGAUGAGUAAAAAUAAUUCAUUGUAGAUGCCAAAAUCCCUCCGGGAUCUCUUGUAUGUAAAGUAGUUUGACCAUUAUUGUAUCAUUCGUUAUAUAUUGGACCUUUGUUACGUUUUGUUAGUGUUUAUAUCUGUUUGUUAAGUUAAUGUUAAUAUGAUUAUGUAUAGCUACCUGAGGAUAAUAUAUACUUGAGAUGGCAUUGUUUUACACUUUGGAUUUCUAUAGCACGAGGGGAGAUAAUCUGGUGAGAACAUACUCCCAUUAAAUGGAAUAUUCUUCACUCAUAGCCAGUGUCCCCUAGUCAUACCCAUUACACAGCAAUAUGUCUCAGAAUGUAAGGAUCAAACACACAUUCAAGUCCGUGUUUUAUGUAUCUUUAUUAUUCUGAUUAAAUCCUAUUGUGCUAACCAGAAACUAAAAGGUUCAUCAUAUCAAUUAUUUUAUAUAACAAUAGACAUGUAUAUGUUUUAUGUGUAUAUUGUGUGGUGUGUCAAAAUGUAGAGUUGGAUUGAGUGGAAGAUGAUUGUAAUGGAGGUUGUUUAUAUUUGUCAAUUAUCAUCAAAAUGGUGCUACAAUCUUUUCUAACACUUGCUGACAGCAGUAUGAUGUAGUCAAGAUAGAAACAUGUUGGUUAGGUUGGUAUGUCGUUAGGUUGGUACGUUGUUAGGUUGGUAUGUCGUUAGGUUGGUAUGUCGUUAGGUUGGUACGUUGUUAGGUUGGUACGUCGUUGGGUUGGUACGUCGUUAGGUUGGUACGUCGUUAGGUUGGUACGUUGUUGGGUUGGUAUGUAAAGGUAGAAACAUGUUGGUUAGGUUGGUAUGUGGUUAGGUUGGUACGUCGUUAGGUUGGUAUGUCGUUAGGUUGGUAUGUUGUUAGGUUGGCACGCCGUUGGGUUGGCACGUCGUUAGGUUGGUACGUCGUUAGGUUGGUAUGUCGUUAGGUUGGUACAUCGUUAGGUUGGUACAUCUUUAGGUUGGUACGUCGUUAGGUUGGUACGUUGUUGGGUUGGUAUGUAAAGGUAGAAACAUGUUGGUUAGGUUUGUAUGUGGUUAGGUUGGUAUGUUGUUAGGUUGGUACGUCGUUAGGUUGGUACGUCAUUAGGUUGGUACGUCGUUAGGUUGGUAUGUGGUUAGGUUUGUAUGUGGUUAGGUUGGUACGUCGUUAGGUUGGUACGUCGUUAGGUUGGUAUGUGGUUAGGUUGGUACGUCGUUAGGUUGGUACGUCGUUAGGUUGGUACGUCGUUAGGUUGGUACGUCGUUAGGUUGGUACGUCGUUAGGUUGGUACGUCGUUAGGUUGGUACGUCGUUAGGUUGGUACAUCGUUAGGUUGGUAUGUCGUUAGGUUGGUACGUCGUUAGGUUGGUACGUCGUUAGGUUGGUACGUCGUUAGGUUGGUAUGUUGUUAGGUUGGUAUGUCGUUAGGUUGGUACGUCAUUAGGUUGGUACAUCGUUAGGUUGGUACAUCGUUAGGUUGGUACGUCGUUAGGUUGGUACAUCGUUAGGUUGGUACGUCGUUAGGUUGGUACGUCAUUAGGUUGGUAUGUUGUUAGGUUGGUAUGUUGUUAGG